rnacentral:sRNA from 1 species
GCAGAAUUCAGUGAAUCAUCGAAUCUUUGAACGCAAAUGGCGCUCUUGGGUUCUCCCAGGAGCAUGUCUGUCUGAGUGUCUUUUUCGUUGAAUGACAUUCGCACGAUGUGGCCGUGUUAUGCACUGGCGUUUCGUGCGGCGUUGAGGUUCGCGGCCUUGCUAUUCUUAGGCCGCGUGCCUUUAAAUGGAGGAGGAAGAUGGGCUCAAGGUCCGGUGCAGUCGCAUGCGGAUUCAGUUGAUGUGCCGCAUGUGACUGCUGCAUCGGGAAUAUUGUCCUCGGCCCUCUACCUCGUGACCUUUAGCACGACGCUCGUUCGUUCGUUCGUUGCUUGCCGCCAGACCUCAGAUCAGGCAAGGCUACCCGCUGAAUUUAAGCAUAUUAAUAAGCGGAGGAAAAGAAACUAACAAGGAUUCCCCCAGUAACGGCGAGUGAAGCGGGAAGAGCUCAAAUUUGAAAUCUCCGAUGCCUGCAUCGGCGAGUUGUAGUUGCGAGAAGCACUUUCUAGGCGGAAGGGCCCUGCCUAAGUUGCUUGGAACAGCACGUCGCAGAGGGUGACAACCCCGUCU